UACGGAGGGGGCGAGCGUUAUUCGGAAUUAUUGGGCGUAAAGGGCGCGUAGGCGGCCUGGUAAGUCAAAGGUGAAAUCCCUCGGCUCAACUGAGGAACUGCCUUUGAAACUGCCUGGCUUGAGGCCGGGAGGGGGUGGCGGAAUUCCCAGUGUAGCGGUGAAAUGCGUAGAUAUCAGGAGGAACACCGGUGGCGAAGGCGGCCCUCUGGACGGUGACUGACGCUGAGAAGCGAAAGCGGUGGGGAGCGAACAGG
rnacentral:rRNA from 1 species